UCCUGUCUUAACAGUAUCGAAACACAGUUCAUUGCCUAAUGUUGGUUGCACAAAUUGGUGUGUCUAUUUUUUAUUCUCUAGUUUGGGAACAACUCAACGAUGAUCUGCCAGUGAUAGACACGCCCUUGGGGAGAGUUCGAGGAUUUUGGAAGACUUUAGAUGACCAGAAAUAUGCUGCUUUUGAGGGUAUCCCAUAUGCGAAACCACCAGUGCAGUGAGAGAUCUCAGAUUGUUUGCUGUCUCUGCAGAACUGUCCGCUAAACUGCAAGCCAACUACACUGAGGGUGAAAAUAAAUUUGCCAACUUUUAUCCGGGUGAUCACGAAAUAGAAGUAUUCCUUCAUUCGAUGGGACAGACACCUGGCAACCCACGGGAUCUGAAGAGAUGACUUACUAGGUUGAAAAUGGACCAGAAGACAUGAAGCUGCGCAGGAGUCAAGGUAUGAACCCUAUAGAUUUUUGGAGCAAGCUUGGACUCCUGGAAUAUGAAAACCUUGUUGUAAAACGUGAAUUAUAGUUUGCUUUCCGUAUUUUCUUUGUUUUAUAAUCAUCUUAAAUUUUAAUAAUA